CAUUGGGACUCUGAUAAACCUAAAGGCGCAAUGAAAGUGAAGGUCCGCCUCGCGCGGACCGAGGGAGGAUGGCUCCGUUUUCGGACGGGGCCCGCACUCCCGGGGCGUCUCGUUCUCAUCGCGAGAUGAGGCGCACCCAGAGCGUACACGCUGGGACCCGAAAGAUGGUGAACUAUGCCUGGUCAGGACGAAGUCAGGGGAAACCCUGAUGGAGGUCCGUAGCGAUUCUGACGUGCAAAUCGAUCGUCGGAACUGGGUAUAGGGGCGAAAGACUAAUCGAACCUUCUAGUAGCUGGUUCCCUCCGAAGUUUCCCUCAGGAUAGCUGGCGCUCGCAUUGCGAGUCUCAUUCGGUAAAGCGAAUGAUUAGAGGCAUUGGGGUCGAAACGGCCUCAACCUAUUCUCAAACUUUAAAUGGGUGAGAUCUCCGGCUUGCUUAAAACGUGAAGCCGCGAGAUAUUUUUCGGAUCAACGAGUGCCAAGUGGGCCACUUUUGGUAAGCAGAACUGGCGCUGUGGGAUGAACCAAACGCCGAGUUAAAGCGCCAAAAUCGACGCUUAUGGGAUACCAUGAAAGGCGUUGGUAACUU
rnacentral:rRNA from 1 species